CCGUGCAACUUUGUCAAGGAAAAUCUGAUGAAAAAGCAUUGUUCUGUAAUUCUUUGCAACUCAAGUGGGAAAACUUGGAUUGCUACGUUCAAGCAAAGAAAAAUAGGGAAAAAGCUAACUUCAUAUCUAAUAGCUGGUUGCGGUACUUUUGCAAGGGAUAAUAAUAUCCAAGUAGGUGAUGUUUGUGCCUCUGAGCUGAUUAAUAGCAUCCAUAUAUCCUUUAAAGUAGUCAUUUACCAAGGUCAGCAUGCAAACUGUCAUCAGUCAUUAGCUGUAACUGAUGUGUUUCAUCUGGUGAAACGGAAGGCUCCGUCAUGUGCAAGUUGAAGCUCCUCAGAACGACCUGUGAAACACAAGGCUCCAUCAUAUGCAAGUCAGGGCUGCCCAGAACCAUUGACUGCCCUCGAAAAAGCUAAAGCUUUUCAAACGGCUGGUGCUUUCAAAUCUGAAAAUCCAUUCUUUGUUAUUGUCCUACAGCCAUCGCAUGUUCAUGGAAAUAAAUUGAGUGUACCAAUGAAUUUUGCUAGGAAAUAUCUCACAAUGAUGCACAAAAAAGUCAUACAUCUCCUUUCAGAUGGAAACUCGUGGCCAGUAAUAUAUGACCCGCGUUUUGAAUGGUCCUAUGUAUUCCUCUGUAAUGGAUGGCAUAGGUUUGCUGUGGAUAAUAAUUUAGAAGUUGGUGAUGUUUGUGUCUUUGAACUGACUGGGGGCAUUGAAACCUCAAUGAAGGUAACCAUUUAUAAGAAGCAGGCUAUUGAAGAUGAAAAUUUGGGCUGAUCCUUGGGUAUUAUGCAACACUGACUCAUUGUUGCCAUUCCUGAGACACAAAACAUGAAAAAUACCGAUUGAUGAUGGGACUUGGCUUGUCAUUAAUGGGACCUAAUUGGUAAUAAAUUAGACCUACUGGAUAAAAGCUGGUGAAUGUGCAAGCAAGUUAAGACCCAAGGCUCUGCAUGAAACGUAAAGCUGAAGGAUGAGUCUCUUUUACUCUUUGACCAGCAAUGAAAUGCUAAAAAGCAGCAUUGGAAAAAGGAAAAAAGAAGAUAGUUUUACUCCUUUUUAGAACUGGCUAUGGCAAUUGACAAAGCACAUCAUGCCUUAAACUUUUGUAAUUUAUCUCACACUCUUUUGUAAUUGACAAAGCACAUCAUGCCUUAAACUUUUGUAAUUUAUCUCACACUCUUUUGUUUACCAGUUGUUGAAGAUGGCCAUGAUAGGUUGUCUGAUUGUGUUUUACCAGUCUCUCUUGUAAGGUAAGAAAAAACAAUGGUGUGAUCAUGUAACUCCAGUAACCUCAUUUUGUAAAUGAUGUAAUCUUUCAGUUGAUAUUGGAAAGUCCUUCAAGAAAGCUUCAUAUUAGUGCUUGACAGAUAUGUUAUCUGCUUUUAAUUGGAGAUCCUAGCCUUGUUUUCAAUGACUGAAA